AAGAAUGCCUCAUUUAUUUUGGAUUGUAAUUUGUUUAAUUAUUGAUGAAUGCUGAUCUGUUUUGCAGGCUGAAGAAAAGGCAGAUGCCUUGAACAAGGAGUUACUGAUGACUAAACAGAAACUGAUUGAUGCAGAAGAGGAGAAGAGACGAUUGGAAGAAGAAUCUGCUCAGCUGAAGGAAAUGUGUCGCAGGGAGCUUGAUAAAGCAGAGUCAGAAAUAAAGAAAAA